GGAGACAGCAGCGUGGUCAGAGUGGUAGGAGCCGGCCAUCAGCGAGAGCUGCUCCAUGCCUGGCUGCUGGGUGCUAGAGCCUGCGGCCAGCUGGCUUGCCUCACUGUGGUUGGUGGUGGUGGUGACAGAGACUGCAGCACGACCAGAGUGGCUUUUCUGGCUUUGCCCGCCCAGCUGCUCCGUGCCAGGAGGAGGAGGAGACACCUAGAGCCUGCAACACCACGGCUCGCCUCCCUGCAGGUGGGUGGCAGUGACGGAGACUGCAGUGCGCCAAAGCAGUAGGAGAGCGGCCACACUAGGAGGGCAGGCGGCUGCAGCCAGGGUUGGGGGUCAGGCUUACAGCGAUGGACGGGCUGCAGCAGUGGCCAGGUGGUAGGAGCCUUGUAGGGAAGGCUGGUGCAUUGGCAAUGGGCCUGGCUUUUCCCUGCCCCUGCCAUGGAUUUGGCCCUGUACUGCCCUGCCUUGCCCUGUACCUGCUCUACUGUUACCUGGACUCUCGGCCCUGUCCUGCUCUGGUCCCAUCCUGACUCUGUCUUGG
rnacentral:lncRNA from 1 species